UACGGAAGGUCCUGGCGUUAUCCGGAUUUAUUGGGUUUAAAGGGAGCGCAGGCCGGAGAUUAAGCGUGACGUGAAAUGCCGCGGCUCAACCGUGGAAGUGCGUCGCGAACUGGUUUCCUUGAGUGAGUUCGACGCCGGCGGAAUUCGUGGUGUAGCGGUGAAAUGCUUAGAUAUCACGAAGAACCCCGAUUGCGAAGGCAGCCGGCGAGGCCUUUACUGACGCUAAAGCUCGAAGGUGCGGGUAU
rnacentral:rRNA from 1 species